rnacentral:rRNA from 1 species
GACGAACGCUGGCGGCGUGCUUAACACAUGCAAGUCGAACGGAAAGGCCCUGCUUUUGUGGGGUGCUCGAGUGGCGAACGGGUGAGUAACACGUGAGUAACCUGCCCUUGACUUUGGGAUAACUUCAGGAAACUGGGGCUAAUACCGGAUAGGAGCUCCUGCUGCACGGUGGGGGUUGGAAAGUUUCGGCGGUUGGGGAUGGACUCGCGGGUUAUCAGCUUGUUGGUGGGGUAGUGGCUUACCAAGGCUUUGACGGGUAGCCGGCCUGAGAGGGUGACCGGCCACAUUGGGACUGAGGUACGGCCCAGACUCGUACGGGAGGCAGCAGUGGGGAAUAUUGCGCAAUGGGCGGAAGCCUGAUGCAGCAGCGCCGCGUGCGGAAUGACGGCCUACGAGUGGUAAACCGCUUUCGCCUGUGACGAGGCGUGAGUGACGGUAAUGGGUAAAGAAGCACCGGCUAACUACGUG